GAUGAACGCUGGCGGCGUGCUUAACACAUGCAAGUCGAACGGAAAGGCCCAAGCUUGCUUGGGUACUCGAGUGGCGAACGGGUGAGUAACACGUGGGCGAUCUGCCCCGCACUUCGGGAUAAGCCUGGGAAACUGGGUCUAAUACCGGAUAGGACAGUGGCUUGGAUGCCAUUGUGGAAAGUUUUUUCGGUGUGGGAUGAGCUCGCGGCGUAUCCGCUUGUUGGGGGGGUGAUGGCCUACCGAGGCGUCGACGGGUAGCCGGCCUGAGAGGGUGUACGGCGACAUUGAGACUGAGGUGCGGCCGCAGUGGCGACGGGAGGAAGAAGGGGGGAAGAUUGAACAAGGGGCGCAGGCCGGAUGAAGCGAGGCUGCGGGGUGGAAGACGGUCUUGUGGUUGAAAACACCUUGCGCUAGGGACGAAGCGUUAUGUGACGGUACCUAGAGAAGAAGCACCGGCUAACUACGUG
rnacentral:rRNA from 1 species